UACGUAGGGUGCAAGCGUUGUCCGGAAUUAUUGGGCGUAAAGAGCUCGUAGGCGGUCUGUUGCGUCGGCUGUGAAAACCCGGGGCUCAACCCCGGGCCUGCAGUGGGUACGGGCAGACUAGAGUGCGGUAGGGGAGACUGGAAUUCCUGGUGUAGCGGUGAAAUGCGCAGAUAUCAGGAGGAACACCGGUGGCGAAGGCGGGUCUCUGGGCCGUAACUGACGCUGAGGAGCGAAAGCAUGGGGAGCGAACAGG
rnacentral:rRNA from 1 species